rnacentral:misc_RNA from 1 species
CUUCAAAACCCCUUUGUGGGAUUUUGGACUUGGAGGUCUAAUGCUUGCCUUUGAUUUCAAAAGCGAGCUCCUCUCAAAUAAAUUAGUGAGGUCUGCUUUGCUGGUCCUUGACGUGAUAAGAUGUUUCUACGUUUUGGAUUUGGCACCGUCGCUCGCUUCUAACCGUCUCAUGGACGACCGAGGGCGCUCCGGUCACCGCCAUCAACGUUGGCGGGAGGC